rnacentral:lncRNA from 1 species
CCCCCAUUGCCGAUGCCAGUAUUCCUUAUCCUUUUGAGUAUUGGGAGUUCUCUCUGCCUCCACCGCUGGUUGGCAGCUUUAAGGUCUAUCGAUGUUCCCUUAUUGCUGAUCAUCCUCAUCCAUCAUCAUCAAUUAUCGAUCACCAUUCAUUGUUUGCUUUUCUUCAGCGACCCUAACAGGUAUGACUCCUACCGACUUUCCCUUCUUCUGGUCUUCCCUCAUCAUUGGUAUUCUUAAAUCCCUAUUCCCUUAUCCUCUAGAGAUUUGGGGCCUAGGGUUUUGAAGUUGUUUCCACCUCCACUGUCGGUUGGCCGUCGGUGUUUCCUCAUCAU